rnacentral:rRNA from 1 species
UGGAGCAAAACUAAUAAAAGACGAUCUCAGUUCGGACUGCAGGCUGCAACUCGCCUGCACGAAGUUGGAAUUGCUAGUAAUCGUGGAUCAGCAUGCCACGGUGAAUACGUUCCCGGGUCUUGUACACACCGCCCGUCACACCAUGGGAGCCGGUAAUACCCGAAGUCAGUAGUCUGACCGCAAGGAGGACGCUGCCGAAGGUAGGAUUGGCGACUGGGGUGAAGUCGUAACAAGGUACC